rnacentral:tRNA from 1 species
AGCCCGAUAGUCUAGCGGUCAAGGAUUCGGCGCUCUGGACGCCGAGACGGCAGUUCGAAUCUGCCUCGGGCUA